rnacentral:rRNA from 1 species
CUUCGUUGCCAUUUGAUGAGCCCAUAUGAGAUUAGCUAGUUGGUGUGGUAAUGGCUCACCAAGGCGACGAUCUCUAGCUGGUUUGAGAAGAUGACCAGCCACACUGGGACUGAGACACGGCCCAGACUCCUACGGGAGGCAGCAGUGGGGAAUAUUGCACAAUGGGGGGAACCCUGAUGCAGCCAUGCCGCGUGUAUGAAGAAGGCCUUAGGGUUGUAAAGUACUUUCGUGGAGGAGGAAGGGUUUACGUAAUCGUGGACAUUGACGUUACUCCAAGAAGAAGCACCGGCUAACUCCGUGCCAGCAGCCGCGGUAAUACGGAGGGUGCGAGCGUUAAUCGGGAUGACUGGGCGUAAAGGGCAUGUAGGCGGAUGAUUAAGUUAGAUGUGAAUCCCUGGGCUUUACCUAGGAAUGGCAUUUAAAACUGGGUAUCUAGAGUAU